rnacentral:rRNA from 1 species
AACGCGAAGAACCUUACCUGGGCUCGAAGCGCAGUGGACCGGGGUAGAAAUAUCCCUUCCCCUUAAAAGGCUGCUGCGGAGGUGCUGCAUGGCUGUCGUCAGCUCGUGUCGUGAGAUGUUGGGUUAAGUCCCGCAACGAGCGCAACCCUUAUCCCUAGUUGCCAUCGGGUCAAGCCGGGCACUCUAGUGAAACUGCCUCGGAUAACGAGGAGGAAGGUGGGGAUGACGUCAAGUCCUCAUGGCCUUUAUGUCCAGGGCUACACACGUGCUACAAUGGUCGGUACAAACCGUCGCAAACCAGCGAUGGGGAGCCAAUCCCAGCAAAACCGGUCUCAGUUCGGAUUGGAGGCUGAAACCCGCCUCCAUGAAGUCGGAGUUGCUAGUAACUGUGGGUCAGCACACCACAGUGAAUACGUUCCCGGGCCUUGUACACACCGGAGUGC